rnacentral:lncRNA from 1 species
CAAAUAUAUAUAAAUAUAUGUAUGUUAAAAUGUAGUUUGCUAGGAAAGUGUGCUACUUGUAAUUAAAUUGAUUAGAUAUAUAUAAUAUUUCAUUUACUUUUUUGUUUUGCCACUCUAACCGUCUAUUUAUAUAAAAUAUUUAUUUUUGUUUUCGCACAGAUGCAGAAAAGUAUUACAAGUUCAAGGAAAGAGAUGAGGUAAGAUGAUUUAACAUAGUCUAUAUUUUUAUGUAUAUGUGUAUAUGGCAAACCGUUUUGAGUAUUAUAACGUGUAUACUUAUAACAUUUAAACCAUUUAAGCGGGUUGAAUGUGCUAAAGUCUAAAGUACAUUAAAAAAAUUGGAUAAAUAUUGAUAUAAUAUAUGACAUAAAGAAAAAUGCUUAAACAUUGAUAACAACAUAUAUGCAUGUUAAGAAAUUUAUACAUGAACAAAACAGUUUAUACCCGUUAUUUUAUUUUAUUUUAUUUUUUUAUGUUUUAUUUGUUGAAAUUGUUUUUCUUCUAUUAUUUUAGUGUUUCUGUAUCAUGUUACAAUGGGUUUUUUUUUUUUUUUUUUUUUUUUUUUUUUUUAUAAUUAUCUUAACUGAUAAAAAUUUAUUUUUUUUAUUUUUUGAAGGAUUCAGAAAGAGCAUAUAAUGAUAUGCGAAAUCAACCUAAUGGAAACAAUCAAAUAGUACCAAAAUAUUCAUGCGAGGAAACUCCAGAAGACAAGAAUUUUAUAGGUAAUAUAUUUUCAACUCGCAAACCGAAACAUGCAGGCGCAGGUUUAGUUUCAGGAAUAAAAUCAAUCACAAAAGGUAUAAUUGUUGGUACAAGUUUUUUAAUAAUUUCUCCUUAUUUAUGUGCAAAAGCAGAAGGUAUAAAUGGUUUUUUUAAGGGUAUAUUUUUUGGAUUGUUAAGUGCUAUAAUAAUUCCUAUAAUUUCUUUAGGAGUGGCUAGUUAUCAAAUUGGUCGAGGUAUUAUAAAUACACCUGAAUCAAUAGCUCAAAAAGCACAAGGAAAAAUUUGGGAUGAUGAAAAAAGAGAAUGGUACGAUUUUUAUUAUAAUUUAGA